GACGAACGCUGGCGGCGUGCUUAACACAUGCAAGUCGAGCGAUGAAGUUCCUUCGGGAACGGAUUAGCGGCGGACGGGUGAGUAACACGUGGGUAACCUGCCUCAUAGAGGGGAAUAGCCUUCCGAAAGGAAGAUUAAUACCGCAUAAGAUUGUAAUGCCGCAUGGCAUAGCAAUUAAAGGAGCAAUCCGCUAUGAGAUGGACCCGCGUCGCAUUAGCUAGUUGGUGAGGUAACGGCUCACCAAGGCGACGAUGCGUAGCCGACCUGAGAGGGUGAUCGGCCACAUUGGGACUGAGACACGGCCCAGACUCCUACGGGAGGCAGCAGUGGGGAAUAUUGCACAAUGGGGGAAACCCUGAUGCAGCAACGCCGCGUGAGUGAUGACGGUCUUCGGAUUGUAAAGCUCUGUCUUCAGGGACGAUAAUGACGGUACCUGAGGAGGAAGCCACGGCUAACUCCGUGCCAGCCGCCGCCGUAA
rnacentral:rRNA from 1 species